GCAUUGAUAGCUUAACCUGAGAGCAUAGCACUGAAGAUGCUAAGGUGGCAUAUACUUGUCUCAAGGCA
rnacentral:tRNA from 1 species